rnacentral:snRNA from 1 species
GUGCUUGCUUCGGCAGCACAUAUACUAAAACUGGAACGAUACAGAGACGAUUAGCAUGGCCCCCGUGCAAGGACAGCACGCAAAUUCGUGAAGCAUUUCAUAUUUUU